UGGGGAAUAUUGCACAAUGGGGGAAACCCUGAUGCAGCCAUGCCGCGUGUGUGAAGAAGGCCUUCGGGUUGUAAAGCACUUUCAGUUGUGAGGAAAAGUUAGUAGUUAAUACCUGCUAGCCGUGACGUUAACAACAGAAGAAGCACCGGCUAACUCCGUGCCAGCAGCCGCGGUAAUACGGAGGGUGCGAGCGUUAAUCGGAAUUACUGGGCGUAAAGCGCACGCAGGCGGUUUGUUAAGCUAGAUGUGAAAGCCCCGGGCUCAACCUGGGAUGGUCAUUUAGAACUGGCAGACUAGAGUCUUGGAGAGGGGAGUGGAAUUCCAGGUGUAGCGGUGAAAUGCGUAGAUAUCUGGAGGAACAUCAGUGGCGAAGGCGACUCCCUGGCCAAAGACUGACGCUCAUGUGCGAAAGUGUGGGUAGCGAACAGGAUUAGAUACCCUGGUAGUCCACACCGUAAACGCUGUCUACUAGCUGUUUGUGACUUUAAGUCGUGAGUAGCGAAGCUAACGCGAUAAGUAGACCGCCUGGGGAGUACGGCC
rnacentral:rRNA from 1 species